AGAUUGAACGCUGGCGGCAGGCCUAACACAUGCAAGUCGAGCGGUAGAGAGGUGCUUGCACCUCUUGAGAGCGGCGGACGGGUGAGUAAUGCCUAGGAAUCUGCCUAGUGGUGGGGGAUAACGUUCGGAAACGGACGCUAAUACCGCAUACGUCCUACGGGAGAAAGCGGGGGACCUUCGGGCCUCGCGCCAUUAGAUGAGCCUAGGUCGGAUUAGCUAGUUGGUGAGGUAAUGGCUCACCAAGGCGACGAUCCGUAACUGGUCUGAGAGGAUGAUCAGUCACACUGGAACUGAGACACGGUCCAGACUCCUACGGGAGCAGCAGUGGGAAUAUUGGACAAUGGGACGAAAGCCUGACUCCAGCCAGUCGCCGCGUGUGUGGAAAGAAGGUUCUUACGGAUUUAGUAAAAGUCGUAACUUUUUAAGGUGGGAAGGUAAAGGGUUGUAAACGUUUAAUACGUUAGACUAACGUUUGAACGUUACCGACAGGAUAAGCACGGCUUAACUCGUGACCAGCAGCCG
rnacentral:rRNA from 1 species